GGGCAUUGCGCAUGGGCGAAGCCUGACCGCAACGCCGCGUGCGUGAUGAAGGCCUUCGGGUUGUAAAACUCUUUGGACAGGGACGAAGAAAGUGACGGUACCUGUCGAACAAGCCACGGCUAACUACGUGCCAGCAGCCGCGGUAAUACAAAUA
rnacentral:rRNA from 1 species